rnacentral:lncRNA from 1 species
GAUAUUUAAUUUAAAAGUUUAAGUCAGGAUCCAACAGAUCUGCCAGUCAGUUGCCUUCCUAGCAGACAUGAGGUCACACAUGCUCAUUAUAUACAUAACGGCAGCCGCUGCCCUCGUCCUCCUACCUUCCGGAGAGGCUGGAGUGGUAUCCCAGACUAUGGUAAUCCAAAAUCAGGCAUUACUGAAAGUACCGCUGGCGUGUUGAAGAAAAAACCGGUGUUACUAACCCUAGCGAAUACUAUUCCUUGAGUUUAACGUGUACAAGAUCUACUCCGGCUGCUUGAAGACAUGCAUGGGCAAGCUCGAUGAAGAGGCUAAGCUGAAAUGUCAAGCAGAAAAACAGGACAAUUGUAAAAAAAAUGAACUCGUACAGCCUGAAAGACUUUAUAAUGUACCAUAUUUCAAUGAUGACUUUGGGGAAAGCCCUGGCAGAUGCCAGCAGCGUUACUAGGAGCCCUCUUUCGGAGUAGUAGAGUCUGCUGCAGGAAAUGCGGUAAAAGCGACGGGAGCUGUAGCAGGAGCUACGGGAGCUGUAGCAGGAGCUACGGGAGCGAUUCUUGGAUCAACGAUGAGUGCGACAGGAUCGUUAGUGGGGAACGCUAUGGGAGCUACAAUUGGAGCGGGAGUAAAGAAUCCACUAGCAGCUUUGGGGUCCACUGGUAACAGCAUAAUCCCCGAAGGUCAACCUUGGUAUGCCAAUGAAUAAAAAAGAGUUAGAAUUAAAAAAAAAAAACAUUUACAAAUUUAUUCAAAUCUGAAAAUAUUAAAAUAGUGCUACGUAAAUCUCAAUAAAUAUUAUCUUUAUAUCAUAUUGUAAUCUGAAUACAAUAAAGCAUAAAGGCAA